UACGUAGGGUCCGAGCGUUGUCCGGAGUUACUGGGCGUAAAGCGCGCGCAGGCGGCCCGCGAGGUGUCACGUGAAAGCCCCGGGCUCAACUCGGGAGGGUCGUGGCAAACCGGCGGGCUUGAGGCCGGUAGAGGUGGGUGGAACUCCUGGUGGAGUGGUGAAAUGCGUAGAGAUCAGGAAGAACACCCGUGGCGAAGGCGGCCCACUGGGCCGGUGCUGACGCUGAGGAGCGAAAGCAUGGGGAGCGAACAGG
rnacentral:rRNA from 1 species